CCUACGGUAGCUUAGUGGUUAGUGUUCUUGUCUGGUAGACCGGAGGCGGUGGGUUCAGUUCCCAUCUGUGGCA
rnacentral:tRNA from 1 species